rnacentral:lncRNA from 1 species
AACAGCUGAAGGUGAGUUUGCAGUGCUAUACCCAAGCAGUUUUCAUUUCAAGCUCUGCUUCAUCCUUGCAGUAUUUCCUUGUCACAAAGAGGACUUCAUGUACCAGCGUCCUGCAGAAAAAUAAUGCUGUGGAUGAGAGAAGGGGCUCUGGGCGGUUGCAUUGUACAUCCCUGGGAAGCAGCGCUUGGAGACGUCAGCUCUCAGGCAAGGCACAAAAUCACGUCACAAAAUCACAGCACAAAAUAAACAUCUGCAGAAGGAUCUCACUGCCAUCCUUCUUCAGUCAUCAGGGCACAGCGUUCCUUCAUUUGCUGUGGCUCUGUUUCCCAUGACCAGCUGACGGCAGCUGGUUGUGAGCUCUGUCCGUGUUGGGCAGUUGAGUGGACUCUCUCUGUGGGCAAAAUUCUGGCAUGGGUCAGAUCGCUGCUCCAAUGCACAUGGGCUUCAGCAGGGUUUGUCCCAGGGGAUCAAAGCUGCUCAAAGUGGGAGAGAACUCCAAACAACAAAUUUCCUCACCAGAUAUCGGCAUGUCGCUGUUCCGCCUCAGAGCAGAUUAUGGGAACAAGCAGGACUUCUGCAGCCACCCCUUCCCCCCCCCUUCCCAGAUCCCGGUGCCACACGUCAUCAUCCACACCUGAUGCUCCAGCAAGUGCAUUUUGGAAUCAAAACAAGCCUGAUGUGCACGGAAGAAGCUGGCCUGUUGCAUCAUUUGGGAAAGCACCAGUCCUCUGUUUGCCUUCAGUUGCCCUUAGGUGCAACCGAGCUUUGGGUCAGUGCAGCUCCUAGCUGCACGCUGGAGGUGGAAGAGGAGCAUCAGGGAGGGGCAAGGAGCAAACCAGCAGAAACCCAGUGAUUUCAAAGCCAUUUCUGCCCUUGUAUUAAAAUAUGUUUAUAUCUCGGUUCUUUAUUAAAUAUAAGCAGAUUUCUUCUUGUAUACAUUUGUACAUCUUCAGUGCAAUCUGCUUUGCAUCAAACAUUGAUAUAUCGGCGUGGUUUCUGAAAUGUUAGCUCUUGGGCAGUAUAAAUAGCACACUGAUAUUAAAUCUGCUUUCAAAAAUAGUUACAUUACAAUAAAUUUGAAGGACUUGAGGGUUUUUAAUCA